GACGAACGCUGGCGGCGUGCCUAAUACAUGCAAGUAGGACGCAGUUGCGAACGGGUGAGUAACGCGUAGGUAACUACCUACUAGAGGGGGAUAACAAUUGUAAACGAUAGCUAAUACCGCAUACUAGUAGAUGGACCUGCGUUGUAUUAGCUAGUAGGUAGGGUAAUGGCCUACCUAGGCAACGAAACAUAGCCGGCCUGAGAGGGGGAUCGGCCAAACUGGGACUGGGACACGGGCCAGACUCCUACGGGGGGCAGCAGUAGGGAAUCUUCGGCAAUGGGGGGAACGCUGAACGAGGAACGCCGCGGGAGUGAAGAAGGUUUUCGGAUCGUAAAGCUCUGUUGUUAAGGAAGCGGUACUUAACCAGAAAGGGACGGCUAACUACGUGCCAGCAGCCGCGGUAAUAC
rnacentral:rRNA from 1 species